CUCUCAUAUGGAGCGGUCAUAUCGCUUCGGUCUAAAUAGGACAAAUCAUGCGAAGGAUAUAACGAGCAAUUUUGUAAAAUAAAUUUGUCAUAAUCUUUAACGGUUGCGAAGGAGAUGCGAUAACAAGGAAAACAGUGUUUGGGGAGAUAACUCCUACAAAGAAAAGUAUUCGUUUACGCAGGGUAAAUUUCAAAAGCGCAUAAACUGUUCGAUAUCAUGUACAAAAUAUCUAAGCGACAUAUUGCGAAACAAAUGUUUAUCGCAAGAACAAAAUUAGGCGGAAAAAAAAAAAAUAAUCAGAAGAAAAACAAUAGGUCUUUCCACAGAAAAGUGGAAAGACCUAAUAAUCAGAAGAAAACCAAUAGGUCUUUCCACAGAAAAGUGGAAAGACCUAAUAA
rnacentral:lncRNA from 1 species